rnacentral:tRNA from 1 species
GUCCCUUUCGUCUAGAGGUUUAGGACAUCGUUUUUUCAUGGCGACGACACGGGUUCAAAUCCCGUAAGGGAUA